rnacentral:rRNA from 1 species
ACAUACGACCAUACCCACUGGAAAACUCGGGAUCCCGUCCGCUCUCCCAUAGAUAAGCCAGUGAGGGCUGGAUCAGUAGUUGGGUCGGUGACGACCAGCGAAUACCCGGUGUUGUAUGUC